rnacentral:rRNA from 1 species
UACGGGGGGGGUAAGCGUUGUUCGGAAUUACUGGGCGUAAAGGGCUCGUAGGUGGCCAACUAAGUCAGACGUGAAAUCCCUCAGCUUAACUGGGGAACUGCGUCUGAUACUGGAUGGCUUGAGAUUGGGAGAGGGAUGCGGAAUUCCAGGUGUAGCGGUGAAAUGCGUAGAUAUCUGGAGGAACACCGGUGGCGAAGGCGGCAUCCUGGACCAACACUGACACUGAGGAGCGAAAGCCAGGGGAGCAAACGGG